rnacentral:snRNA from 1 species
GAAAGGGUGACCUGGCUGUAAGUUCCAUCACCCCACUGACUGCCAGAGUUGAUCUGGUUGAUGCACCUAGGUAGAUGGAGUCCCCUUUCCUCUUCUGCAUCAUGAGUGUCCCUUCUGAAGCUGUAACUCAGAUGAAGAGAGCAGUUUUCUCUGGUAAGAAAGACCAUUCUUGCUGCACA